rnacentral:rRNA from 1 species
GACGAACGCUGGCGGCGUGCUUAACACAUGCAAGUCGAACGGAAAGGCCCUGCUUUUGUGGGGUGCUCGAGUGGCGAACGGGUGAGUAACACGUGAGUAACCUGCCCUUGACUUUGGGAUAACUUCAGGAAACUGGGGCUAAUACCGGAUAGGAGCUCCUGCUGCAUGGUGGGGGUUGGAAAGUUUCGGCGGUUGGGGAUGGACUCGCGGCUUAUCAGCUUGUUGGUGGGGUAGCGGCUUACCAAGGCUUUGACGGGUAGCCGGCCUGAGAGGGUGACCGGCCACAUUGGGACUGAGAUACGGCCCAGACUCCUACGGGAGGCAGCAGUGGGGAAUAUUGCACAAUGGGCGGAAGCCUGAUGCAGCAACGCCGCGUGCGGGAUGACGGCCUUCGGGUUGUAAACCGCUUUCGCCUGUGACGAAGCGUGAGUGACGGUUAUGGGUAAAGAAGCACCGGCUAACUACGUGCCAGCCGCCGCAGUAAAAC